UUUGGUCCAAAAAAGAAAUUUUAUAAAUCAAAACAGCUUUUCGAUCAUGCUACAAGUGCUUUUCUGAAGAAGCUCCAUUUUAGAGCUUCUUCCAAACAUCUCUAUUUUUUCCAAAAGUACUUUUGGAGGCCACCAAAAGCUCCGCCCAACGAGGCCUUAGAUCCACAGAGCUUUCUGAAGUAGAGCUUGUAUAAAAAGCAAUUUACUGAUUGGUAACUACAUUUUUAAAAUGCUG
rnacentral:lncRNA from 1 species